GUGUGUGCAAUCCACUGUGUCUCCUGCAAUCCCAUUACUGUCCCAGAUAGAGUGAUGAAUUUGCUGGUGUUGGCCGCUGUCUCUGCAUUUUUGACCAGGGUUUCCCAGAUGGCUGUCAGAAACACUGCAUCAGGCUUGGAUAUCCUGCAAGUAAUGCGCCUGGCAGAUGGGCAUGAGCUGCCGUGUUUGUUGCAAGUCCUUGUCCUCUGCCUGAAAGAGUAAGGAAAUGGGAGACCUGAGCCUUCUCUGAUGGUAAGGUCAUUUAUGCCCACCCGUUUUUCAUCCUCGUGGUUUUCCUGCGGCUGAAAUCUCUGUCCUUCUGCUUUGGAGGGAGCUCUUUUUUUGUCAGUGUGUGCGAUCCACUGUGUCUCCUGCAAACCAAGUGCUGUCCAUGGUAUAGUGAUGAAUUUGCUGGUGGUGGCUGCUGCCUCUGCAUUUCUGACCAGAGUUUCCGGGACGGAUGUGAAAAAAAUGGCCUCAGGCAUGGAUAUGAUGGAAGGAACGCGGUGAGCAAGGUCCAAUGAGAGAGGGCAGGGAGGUGAAGCCAGGGGCUGCACCUAGUGUUGGGUGGUGGCUGCUCGUCCGUGGUUGGUUUGUGUGUCUCUUGCAGGGUGGCAGAUGGCCAUGCAUUGUGUUGGCGUGUUUGUUGCAGGUCCUUGUUUUCAUUACCUGAAAGAGUAAGGUAAUGGGAGACGUGCGACUGCUCUCCUGGUAAGGUCAUUUAUGCCCACCCUUUCUUCAUGCUGUUUUUCCUGGGGCUGAAAUUUACAUUUCUGGUCUUUGAAGGCAGCUCUUCUGUCAGUGUGUGCAAUCCACUGUGGCUCCUGCAUCCCAAGUGCUGGCCGUGGUACAGUGAUGAAUUUGCUGGUGUUGGCCGCUGUCUCUGCAUUUUUGUCCUGAGAUUCCAGGAUGGACGUCAAAAAACUGCAUCAGGCAUGGAUAUCAUGCAAGUAAUGCGGUGAGCAAGGUCCAGUGAGAGAGGGCAGGGUGGUGAAGGCCCUGGCUGCCUUUAGGGAUGGAUGGUAGCUGCUUGUAUGUGGUUGGUUUGUGUGUCUCUUGCAGCCUGGCAGAUAUCCAUGAAUUGACGUGUUUGUUGCAAGUGCUUGUUUUCUGCCGGAAAGAGUAAGGUAAUGGGAGACCUGCGGCUGCUCUCCUGGUAAGGUCAUUUAUACCCACCCGUUUUUCAUCCUCGUGGUUUUCCUGCGGCUGAAAUCUCCGUCCUUCUGCUUUGAAGGGAGCUCUUUUUUUGUCAGUGUGUGCAAUCCACUGUGUCUCCUGCAAACCAAGUGCUGUCCAUGGUAUAGUGAUGAAUUUGCUGGUGGUGGCUGCUGCCUCUGCAUUUCUGACCAGAGUUUCCGGGACGGAUGUGAAAAAAAUGGCCUCAGGCAUGGAUAUGAUGGAAGGAACGCGGUGAGCAAGGUCCAAUGAGAGAGGGCAGGGAGGUGAAGCCAGGGGCUGCACCUAGUGUUGGGUGGUGGCUGCUCGUCCGUGGUUGGUUUGUGUGUCUCUUGCAGGGUGGCAGAUGGCCAUGCAUUGUGUUGGCGUGUUUGUUGCAGGUCCUUGUUUUCAUUACCUGAAAGAGUAAGGUAAUGGGAGACGUGCGACUGCUCUCCUGGUAAGGUCA